CAGUAGCCGCGGUAAUACGUAGGGUGCAAGCGUUAAUCGGAAUUAUUGGGCGUAAAGCGAGUGCAGACGGUUACUUAAGCCAGAUGUGAAAUCCCCAAGCUUAACUUGGGACGUGCAUUUGAAACUGGGUGACUAGAGUGUGUCAGAGGGAGGUAGAAUUCCACAUGUAGCGGUGGAAUGCGUAGAGAUGUGGAGGAAUACCGAUGGCGAAGGCAGCCUCCUGGGAUAACACUGACGUUGAGGCUCGAAAGCGUGGGGAGCAAACAGGAUUAGAUACCCCCGUAGUCCCUGUCUCUUAUAC
rnacentral:rRNA from 1 species